rnacentral:rRNA from 1 species
CAACUGUUAACAACGGAUCACUCGGUUCUCACGUCGAUGAAGAGCGUAGCGAAUUGCGAAAAGUAAUGCGAUCUGCAACCAUCGUGAAUCAUCAAAUUCUUGAACGCACUCUGCACCCAAUGGUAUCCCCAUGGGUAUGCCUGAUUGAGUACUGGU